rnacentral:rRNA from 1 species
UACAGAGGUCUCAACCGUUGUUCGGAUUCAUUGGGCGUAAAGGGUGCGUAGGCGGUCGCGCAAGUCGGAUGUGAAAUCUCAGGGCUCAACCCUGAAACUGCAUUCGAUACUGCGUGGCUAGAGUGCUGGAGGGGAGACUGGAAUUUACGGUGUAGCAGUGAAAUGCGUAGAUAUCGUAAGGAGGACCAGUGGCGAAGGCGAGUCUCUGGACAGCAACUGACGCUGAGGCACGAAGGCCAGGGGAGCAAACGGG